CUAUUCAAUUCCCAAAGUUAGGUCAGUGGUUCCAAAGUCAGUCUUUGGAAAUACAAGCCAUAAGCUGCAAGCACUGAUUGUAGCUUGCUGCAGGUGGGAGAAGAAAGCUCUGCUGCAGAACUGCUGAAGAAGUGAGGCUUUGUGCUACCAGCUUUUUCUGUGUGAAUUACCUCUCAAGAAAUAUUUGGUACCAGGAAACUGCAUCCAUCACACAUACUACAGGAACGCUCAAGCAAUACCUUUCUUCAUCUGGA
rnacentral:lncRNA from 1 species